rnacentral:rRNA from 1 species
GCGAACGGGUGAGUAACACAUCGGAACAUACCCAGUCGUGGGGGAUAACACUUCGAAAGAAGUGCUAAUACCGCAUACGUCCUGAGGGAGAAAGCGGGGGAUCUUCGGACCUCGCGCGAUUGGAGUGGCCGAUGUCAGAUUAGCUAGUUGGUGGGGUAAAGGCCUACCAAGGCGACGAUCUGUAGCUGGUCUGAGAGGACGACCAGCCACACUGGGACUGAGACACGGCCCAGACUCC